ACAUCUAAAUCUUCCCCAUUUCUUUCUGCUUCGUAUUAGUGUGUGGACAGAUAGUGUUACAAGUACUAACAGAGGAGAUCCCAACAAGUCAUGUCCAUUUGUCUGGAGACCAGUCUUUAUCAUUCUGCCACGUUU